rnacentral:rRNA from 1 species
UACAGGGGGUGCAAACGUUGCUCGGAAUUAUUGGGCGUAAAGCGCGCGUAGGCGGCUACUUAAGUCGGAUGUGAAAACCCCUGGCUCAACUGGGGAAGUGCACCCGAAACUGAGUAGCUUGAGUGCAAAAGAGGGCCGCGGAAUUCCCGGUGUAGAGGUGAAAUUCGUAGAUAUUCGGAAGAACACCAGUGGCGAAGGCGGCUCACUGGCCCGGUACUGACGCUGAGGUGCGAAAGCGUGGGGAGCAAACAGG